rnacentral:rRNA from 1 species
GAUGAACGCUGGCGGCGUGCCUAAUACAUGCAAGUCGAGCGAACAGAUGAGGAGCUUGCUCCUCUGACGUUAGCGGCGGACGGGUGAGUAACACGUGGAUAACCUAGCUAUAAGACUGGGAUAACUUCGGGAAACCGGAGCUAAUACCGGAUAAUAUAUUGAACCGCAUGGUUCAAUAGUGAAAGACGGUUUUGCUGUCACUUAUAGAUGGAUCCGCGCCGAAUUAGCUAGUUGGUAAGGUAACGGCUUACCAAGGCAACGAUGCGUAGCCGACCUGAGAGGGUGAUCGGCCACACUGGAACUGAGCCACGGUCCAGACUCCUACGGGAGGCAGCAGUAGGGAAUCUUCCGCAAUGGGCGAAAGCCUGACGGAGCAACGCCGCGUGAGUGAUGAAGGUCUUCGGAUCGUAAAACUCUGUUAUUAGGGAAGAACAAAUGUGUAAGUAACUAUGCACGUCUUGACGGUACCUAAUCAGAAAGCCACGGCUAACUACGUG